CACGAGAUGGCACAGAGAAAAGCAGAAAGCUGCUCCAUGACCAUCUGGACGUGAAGAUGUGAAGGCCCUGCCCAGAGUCCAGGAGUCCAGACAGCCUGGGAGACGAGCAGGAGUUGGAACCCGAGUUGGAGAGAGACAGGAGAAGCCUUCCGCAGCCCAGUGUGUCCUUGACCCUGUUCAGGAGGUAAGGACAAACAGGAGGUCUCUGGAGUGCCGUCAGAAGUCUGCCUUCAGUUGUCACUGAGCCCCUCUGAGAAUGGAGCGAUCCACCCGGGAGCUGUGUCUCAACUUCACCGUUGUCCUGAUCACGGUUAUCCUCAUUUGGCUCCUUGUGAGGUCCUAUCAGUACUGAGAUGCCACAGCUCCUGGAAUUGACUGCAACGCUCCAGAGCUGUCUUCUGUGUGCCCUGAGCUCCCACUCCUGUCAUGGGAUGCCUUUUUCGGCACCUCACGGCACUUCUGACCUGCACGCACAGCAUCUGAGGUGCCGCCAGUGUCAGGAUCGAUCCUGUGACCUCUAAAGAUGCUGCUCUCAAGGGCUGCCAAGUGUUUGCCAGGGAGUGUUAGAUUUAUCCCCCAACUCUUACUGCAAAUGUGUUAGACAAGCCACAAGGGUAAAAGUAAACUGGAUUCACGAUGCCAUAGAAUUUUAACAAGCCCCUGAUCUGUCUCACCACACAUCCCUUCAACCCACACUCAGCAAGCAAACUGUAAAUCAACCUGCCAGAAGAGAGAAAUGUUAAAGGAAGUCUUUGUCAGCCCCUCUAGCUAUCAUGUGAAUAAAGUAAGUCAACCACAAAAAA